rnacentral:rRNA from 1 species
UGGUGGAGUGAUUUGUCUGCUUAAUUGCGAUAACGAACGAGACCUCCGCUUGCUAAAUAGUACACAGCAAAUCUUUUGUUGUAUUACUUCUUAGAAGGACUUUGCAUGUCUAAUGCAAGGAAGUUGGAGGCAAUAACA